GGGUUGUGAGGUUAAGCGACUAAGCGUACACGGUGGAUGCCCUGGCAGUCAGAGGCGAUGAAGGGCGUGCUAAUCUGCGAUAAGCGCCGGUAAGGUGAUAUGAACCGUUAUAACCGGCGAUACCCGAAUGGGGAAACCCAGUGUGAUUCGUCACACUAUCAUUACGUGAAUACAUAGCGUAAUGAAGCGAACCGGGGGAACUGAAACAUCUAAGUACCCCGAGGAAAAGAAAUCAACCGAGAUUCCCCCAGUAGCGGCGAGCGAACGGGGAGGAGCCCAGAGCCUGAAUCAGCAUGUGUGUUAGUGGAAGCGUCUGGAAAGGCGCGCGAUACAGGGUGACAGCCCCGUACACAAAAGCGCAUGUGUUGUGAGCUCGAUGAGUAGGGCGGGACACGUGGUAUCCUGUCUGAAUAUGGGGGGACCAUCCUCCAAGGCUAAAUACUCCUGACUGACCGAUAGUGAACCAGUACCGUGAGGGAAAGGCGAAAAGAACCCCGGCGAGGGGAGUGAAAAAGAACCUGAAACCGUGUACGUACAAGCAGUGGGAGCACCCUUUGGGGUGUGACUGCGUACCUUUUGUAUAAUGGGUCAGCGACUUAUAUUCUGUAGCAAGGUUAACCGAAUAGGGGAGCCGGAGGGAAACCGAGUCUUAAUUGGGCGUUAAGUUGCAGGGUAUAGACCCGAAACCCGGUGAUCUAGCCAUGGGCAGGUUGAAGGUUGGGUAACACUAACUGGAGGACCGAACCGACUAAUGUUGAAAAAUUAGCGGAUGACCUGUGGCUGGGGGUGAAAGGCCAAUCAAACCGGGAGAUAGCUGGUUCUCCCCGAAAGCUAUUUAGGUAGCGCCUCGUGAAUUCAUCUCCGGGGGUAGAGCACUGUUUCGGCUAGGGGGCCAUCCCGGCUUACCAACCCGAUGCAAACUGCGAAUACCGGAGAAUGUUAUCACGGGAGACACACGGCGGGUGCUAACGUCCGUCGUGAAGAGGGAAACAACCCAGACCGCCAGCUAAGGUCCCAAAGUCAUGGUUAAGUGGGAAACGAUGUGGGAAGGCCCAGACAGCCAGGAUGUUGGCUUAGAAGCAGCCAUCAUUUAAAGAAAGCGUAAUAGCUCACUGGUCGAGUCGGCCUGCGCGGAAGAUGUAACGGGGCUAAACUAUGCACCGAAGCUGCGGCAGCGACACUA
rnacentral:rRNA from 2 species